AGAGUUUGAUCCUGGCUCAGAUUGAACGCUGGCGGCAUGCCUUACACAUGCAAGUCGAACGGUAACGCGGGGGCAACCCUGGCGACGAGUGGCGAACGGGUGAGUAAUACAUCGGAACAUAUCCAGUAGCGGGGGAUAACCUAUCGAAAGAUGGACUAAUACCGCAUACGAUCUACGGAUGAAAGCAGGGGACCGCAAGGCCUUGCACUAUUGGAGUGGCCGAUGUCGGAUUAGCUAGUUGGUGAGGUAAAGGCUUACCAAGGCGACGAUCCGUAGCUGGUCUGAGAGGACGAUCAGCCACACUGGAACUGAGACACGGUCCAGACUCCUACGGGAGGCAGCAGUGGGGAAUUUUGGACAAUGGGCGCAAGCCUGAUCCAGCCAUGCCGCGUGAGUGAAGAAGGCCUUCGGGUUGUAAAGCUCUUUCGGUGAAGACGAAACGGUUAUCGCUAAUAACGCUGACUAAUGACGGUACUCACAGAAGAAGCACCGGCUAACUACGUGCCAGCAGCCGCGGUAAUACGUAGGGUGCAGGCGUUAAUCGGAAUUACUGGGCGUAAAGCGUGCGCAGGCGGUUUGCUAAGACAGGUGUGAAAUCCCCGAGCUUAACUUGGGAAUUGCGCUUGUAACUGGCAAGCUAGAGUGUGGCAGAGGGGGGUGGAAUUCCACGUGUAGCAGUGAAAUGCGUAGAUAUGUGGAGGAACACCGAUGGCGAAGGCAGCCCCCUGGGUUAACACUGACGCUCAUGCACGAAAGCGUGGGGAGCAAACAGGAUUAGAUACCCUGUAGUCCACGCCCUAAACUAUGUCAACUAGUUGUCGGGGAAGAAAUUCCUUGGUAACGAAGCUAACGCGUGAAGUUGACCGCCUGGGGAGUACGGCCGCAAGGUUAAAACUCAAAGGAAUUGACGGGGACCCGCACAAGCGGUGGAUUAUGUGGAUUAAUUCGAUGCAACGCGAAAGACCUUACCUACCCUUGACAUGCUAGGAAGCCCGCAGAGAUGUGGGUGUGCCCGAAAGGGAACCUAGACACAGGUGCUGCAUGGCUGUCGUCAGCUCGUGUCGUGAGAUGUUGGGUUAAGUCCCGCAACGAGCGCAACCCUUGCCAUUAGUUGCUACAUUCAGUUGGGCACUCUAAUGGGACCGCCGGUGACAAACCGGAGGAAGGUGGGGAUGACGUCAAGUCCUCAUGGCCCUUAUGGGUAGGGCUUCACACGUAUACAAUGGUCGGUACAGAGGGCUGCCAACCCGCAAGGGGGAGCUAAUCCCAGAAAGCCGAUCGUAGUCCGGAUUGUAGUCUGCAACUCGACUGCAUGAAGCCGGAAUCGCUAGUAAUCGCGGAUCAGCAUGUCGCGGUGAAUACGUUCCCGGGUCUUGUACACACCGCCCGUCACACCAUGGGAGUGGGUUCCACCAGAAGUAGUUAGCCUAACCGCAAGGAGGGCGAUUACCACGGUGAGAUUCAUGACUGGGGUGAAGUCGUAACAAGGUA
rnacentral:rRNA from 1 species